GACGAACGCUGGCGGCGUGCCUAAUACAUGCAAGUAGAACGCACAGUUUAUACCGUAGCUUGCUACACCAUAGACUGUGAGUUGCGAACGGGUGAGUAACGCGUAGGUAACCUGCCUGGUAGCGGGGGAUAACUAUUGGAAACGAUAGCUAAUACCGCAUAAUAUUAAUUAUUGCAUGAUAAUUAAUUGAAAGGUGCAAUUGCACCACUACCAGAUGGACCUGCGUUGUAUUAGCUAGUAGGUGAGGUAACGGCUCACCUAGGCGACGAUACAUAGCCGACCUGGGAGGGGGAUCGGCCACACUGGGACUGAGACACGGCCCAGACUCCUACGGGAGGCAGCAGUAGGGAAGCUUCGGCAAUGGACGAAAGUCUGACCGAGCAACGCCGCGUGAGUGAAGAAGGUUUUCGGAUCGUAAAGCUCUGUUGUAAGAGAAGAACGGGUGUGAGAGUGGAAAGUUCACACUGUGACGGUAUCUUACCAGAAAGGGACGGCUAACUACGUG
rnacentral:rRNA from 1 species